CCCUUGGCUGGACUCGAACCCGGGACCCUUCAGUCUACAGUCCGAUGCUCUAGCCACUGAGCAAAACUGGCCAGAGCUCCAUUGCAUAAGGCUUUAAAUUUCAAGGGUGUUGUUUGUUAAUUUUGCAGUCCUAUCAGUCCCUGGUGGCAGGUGUUUUCCAGCAGAAACAAUGCAGGGACGAACGUCUUCCCUCUGCACACACCCCGCGCCCCACGCCUGUGGGACAGCCCCCAGGUGCCGUUAGAGGGGACGUGGGUCUGCUCGCUCUGUGACCUGUUGCCAGCCGUCCCCCGUGGAGCUGCCCUGAGCUACGCUCUCACCCCGGACACGUGCGGUUGCUUCUGUCCCCACAUGCUUGGCCACCCUAGAAUUUCAGGUUCACGGAGGGCAUCUCCGAGCGUGCUGGGCACCGAGCCGGUCUCGGUGGUGUUCCAGCCCAGGCGGGUGGCGUCUGUUCCCCACCCCACAGCUGUGUUUCUUCAAGACCUUUGCCGGCUGCAGGAUGGCGUGAAAUGCGUUAUUUUCACGAACUUAAACAGAACUCACGUAAAACCAAGUUCUGAAAUCCGGAGUGAAGCCCUUGCUUAAACGCCAGUCCUCGGUCUGGGGAUUCAAAGUAGCAAACGAGUCCACGUUCACGGUUUUGUCGGUUGCUGCUCCACGCUGGAGGCCCUCUCACGUGGCCUCUGUGGCUCCGCGGGCACCGUGGAUAAACCCAGGGGCUGCGGGAGAGAGCGGCCUGGCUCUGGGAGCUGCGCGGCAAAUCCCCUUUGAGUCAAGUGCAAGUUCUGCUUCACUCCCUUCUUUAGCUGGUUCCGUCUUAGAUCAAAGAACCCAAGCAAAGAAAUGUCACUCAGGGCGCCCAAAACAAGAGUUUUUUGUUUCCUGUUUAAUCCUGAGGCUUCUGGCCGAGACAGCGUGAAGGUAAAUCCAAAGGAUGUAUGUUUUUCAAAGUUCCUUUUCCUGCUUCUGGUUGGCAGGAAUUUCGGCGACAUUCAGAGGAAUUGCGUUUGGAGUCAGGGAAUGACCUCACCUUGCGGGUGAGCAUAGGGCAGCCAGAGCACCGGACGGGCGUCCAGGCUGCCGCCUCGGAGCCUGGGCCCUGCAGGAGGCAGCCGAUCGAUGUUUUGCUCUCACGUCGCUGUUUCUCUCUCUCCCUUUCCCUUCCUCUCUCUCUCAAAACCAAUAAUAAUUUUAAAAUUGCUUAAAAAAAAGCCUGUUCCCCACAGGUGGGCCCCCACCCCUCUGCCCUCACCCACCUGUCUGAUUUCCAGGUCUGGGUUCAGAUGUGCUGACUACAGAGCAACGUGUGCUCAUCACAGAAAUUUUGCCAAAUACACACACGUGAUACCUGGUUUCCUCCGUCACUGAAAAGACUUUACGAACUUGAGCUUUAAGGACGGCCCAGGAUUCGCCGGUCUGAACGCACCACGCUUCAUUGAAGCCAGCUGCCCGCGGCUUCCAGUUUUUCAGCUUAGAGAAGAAUUGAUCUCAUACAUGCUCGCUCACGGCAGCUUCGUUCGUAACAGCCAAAAAGCGGAGGCGACCCGGCGCUCGUCAGCUGGCCCACGGACCCGCGAGGUUCGGAGCAGCGGCGCAGGGACAUGGCUCAGCGGCGGAAAGGAAACAAUUACUGACGGGACGCCCGUGAAGACACGUCUCCACGCGCCACGCUCGGGGCCAGCGGCCAGGCACAAGGCUUCCAUUUCUGUGCAAUUCUAGGAAAGGGCAGACCCAGGGAGCAGGUCCGUGGUUGCCUGCGCCGGGGGCGCUGUGGGGACCGACAGAGAAAGGCCACCUGGGGGCCUCCUGGCAGGAUACUCUCUGGGCGGCACUAGCAGUUUCCUUCACCGUCCCCGGGGCUUCCUUUGCUCUGCUCCUGGGACAGCCCGAUGGCAGAUGCCUCGUGGCCGUAAAAACUCGGACUGUUCUCUCUCGUCGCGGCAGACAGGUCUGUGACGUUAAGAAGAAGUGGCUUAUAAAGCCGUAUGCGCAGGAUGGUGCUGCAUUUGUGAACGACGUCUGUGUCUGGAAAUACGAAAGUCUGGAAAUACAUUUGUCUAACUUUUGCUUAUUUUUUAAAAAA